GAAAGAAAGAAAGAAAGAAAAAAAGAAAACAAGAAAGAAAGAAAGACGACACAGAGAAGUAGCCGUUCCCCGUCUGCCAAU
rnacentral:ribozyme from 1 species